CCUCACGCACACAAAAACACACUCACGCACACACGCACUCACGCACGCACGCACUCACACACACACUCACGCACACACACUCACUCACACGACACGAUUGGCUCCGAUAUAAAGCUGAGUGAACUGGGUGAGGGAUCGAUCAGAUUGACUCGCAGUGAUCUGGAAUGGAAGAGCUGAUCAAUACUCAGUCAGACGCUGUUGGUAGACUGGCAUUCAAAUACAUGGAGAUGUGUAAAGUAGACUCCAGCUCAGACUCUGAAUCAGAGUCCAACCCCAGAUGGUCUGAUGUCAGCAGCAAGGGCUGUGAAAGCAGCACUCCAGAAGCUCCUCAGAAACUCCAGCAAAACUACCAGCAGUGUCUGGAUCCCUACGAUGGAAGCUCAGAAGACUCUGGCUCUUCUGCUGAAGGCUCAAGGAAGCAAAGGCCCGGCGGGUUUCGCACGAAAGGGACUGGCCGUAGAUUGACCUUUAACCCUGCAUCUGCUCUCCGAGACGAGACGCCAGCAGAUCUUCACCGUGUGGAUGUUCAGAUGAGGUCCUCCAGCGACUCGGAGCUAGAGUCUCCACACCAGGGCUCCGACUCCGGCUUCCACACCAGAUCCUCGCUGAACUCUCGAGACACGAGCCUCGGGCUCCAGAGCGCGUCUCCAGACAGCCCUGCUCUCCACGCAGCCUUCUCCAAGAGGAAGCUCUUCCCUGCAUCAGACGACGGGAUGCUGAGCAAGCGGCGGUGCGUCAGUGACGUGGAGCUGGAGAGCGGGGCUGUCUGAGGUCAGGAUCAGACCACAGCAGAGUCUCCGAACCCUGUGCUGCUUGUGAAGGAAAAUAGAGACACUCUAACGACAGAAAGAGGUUUGACGUGCAGGUGUUGAAAUAUGUACGAGAUGAUGGACAGGUUCAACUCUGAUGUCACACAGCUAUUUCAGUAAUAAAUUAAGACUAAUAAAGCUAACCUUAAUUCAUGAUUUCAUGUUUCAUCUCCGGCUGUUCACGAUGAGUUUGCCUUUACACUCAGUGAGCAAACAUGUAUGUAGUGCAGCUGUCUGCAGACGGACGGUGACAAGAAUAAUAUAUAUAUCUGUCAGAAAGCUGAUGUCAUGAUGAAUUAAUGUCUGGAGAAACAGGCCAGUUUCACUGGGUUUCUUUAGGGCAAUGGAGAGAUUUAUUAUUUGCAUCCAAAGAAAGGAGAACAUCGGAAGAACGCCUACUCCAUGAUGUUAAUGUUUGUAGGCCUUUGUGUGUUUUUCAUUUGAAUGCUUGUUUCAUCAGCUUCAGUCUGAAUAGAGGAAAAACUGAGAGUUCAGUGUCAGUUUGUUUCAGUUCUUCCCUUAAUUAAUUGCACACAGCUUGUCAUGUGUAUUCAUCACAGGAUGAAAAUAAAGUAUGCACUUCUUUGUCUGCAUUUCUCUGUAUUGUGCGGAUGUCAAAGCUUCCUCUGAGCCUGUAAUCACCAUCAGUAAAGACGUCAGGACCUGGGGCCUCUUCCAUAAAACAAGUUUACCAAAUAAUCCA
rnacentral:lncRNA from 1 species